rnacentral:rRNA from 1 species
UUUUAUAUUUAAAGUCUAGUCUGCCCGAUGAAAAAUUUCAAUGGCCGCAGUAUUUUGACUGUGCAAAGGUAGCGUAAUCAUUAGUUUCUUAAUUAGAAACUUGUAUGAAUGGCUGAAUGAGAAAUGAACUGUCUCUAAUUUAAAUUAAAUAGAAUUUUAUUUUUAAGUUAAAAAGCUUAAAUUUUUAUUAAAGACGAGAAGACCCUAUAGAGUUUAAUAUUGUUUAGUAUUAAAUAUUUAAAGUAUUAAAAUUUUAAAUAUUAAAUAGUAUUUUGUUGGGGUGAUAGGAAAAUUAAUAUAACUUUUUUUUAUUUAUUACAAUGAUAAAUGAUUUAUUGAUCCAUAUUUUUUGAUUAAAAGAUUAAAUUACCUUAGGGAUAACAGCGUAAUUUUUUUAGAGAGUUCUUAUCGAUAAAAAAGUUUGCGACCUCGAUGUUGGAUUAAAAUUUAUUAUUGGCGCAGUAGUUGAUAAAUUAAGUCUGUUCGACUUUUAAAAUUUUACGUGAUCUG